rnacentral:rRNA from 1 species
CAGGCUUAACACAUGCAAGUCGAGGGGCAGCAUGGUCUUAGCUUGCUAAGGCCGAUGGCGACCGGCGCACGGGUGAGUAACACGUAUCCAACCUGCCGUCUACUCUUGGACAGCCUUCUGAAAGGAAGAUUAAUACAAGAUGGCAUCAUGAGUCCGCAUGUUCACAUGAUUAAAGGUAUUCCGGUAGACGAUGGGGAUGCGUUCCAUUAGAUAGUAGGCGGGGUAACGGCCCACCUAGUCUUCGAUGGAUAGGGGUUCUGAGAGGAAGGUCCCCCACAUUGGAACUGAGACACGGUCCAAACUCCUACGGGAGGCAGCAGUGAGGAAUAUUGGUCAAUGGGCGAGAGCCUGAACCAGCCAAGUAGCGUGAAGGAUGACUGCCCUAUGGGUUGUAAACUUCUUUUAUAAAGGAAUAAAGUCGGGUAUGGAUACCCGUUUGCAUGUACUUUAUGAAUAAGGAUCGGCUAACUCCGUGCCAGCAGCCGCGGUAAUACGGAGGAUCCGAGCGUUAUCCGGAUUUAUUGGGUUUAAAGGGAGCGUAGAUGGAUGUUUAAGUCAGUUGUGAAAGUUUGCGGCUCAACCGUAAAAUUGCAGUUGAUACUGGAUAUCUUGAGUGCAGUUGAGGCAGGCGGAAUUCGUGGUGUAGCGGUGAAAUGCUUAGAUAUCACGAAGAACUCCGAUUGCGAAGGCAGCCUGCUAAGCUGCAACUGACAUUGAGGCUCGAAAGUGUGGGUAUCAAACAGGAUUAGAUACCCUGGUAGUCCACACGGUAAACGAUGAAUACUCGCUGUUUGCGAUAUACUGCAAGCGGCCAAGCGAAAGCGUUAAGUAUUCCACCUGGGGAGUACGCCGGCAACGGUGAAACUCAAAGGAAUUGACGGGGGCCCGCACAAGCGGAGGAACAUGUGGUUUAAUUCGAUGAUACGCGAGGAACCUUACCCGGGCUUAAAUUGCAGAUGAAUUACGGUGAAAGCCGUAAGCCGCAAGGCAUCUGUGAAGGUGCUGCAUGGUUGUCGUCAGCUCGUGCCGUGAGGUGUCGGCUUAAGUGCCAUAACGAGCGCAACCCUUGUUGUCAGUUACUAACAGGUUCCGCUGAGGACUCUGACAAGACUGCCAUCGUAAGAUGUGAGGAAGGUGGGGAUGACGUCAAAUCAGCACGGCCCUUACGUCCGGGGCUACACACGUGUUACAAUGGGGGGUACAGAGGGCCGCUACCACGCGAGUGGAUGCCAAUCCCCAAAACCUCUCUCAGUUCGGACUGGAGUCUGCAACCCGACUCCACGAAGCUGGAUUCGCUAGUAAUCGCGCAUCAGCCACGGCGCGGUGAAUACGUUCCCGGGCCUUGUACACACCGCCCGUCAAGCCAUGGGAGCCGGGGGUACCUGAAGUGCGUAACCGCGAGGAGCGCCCUAGGGUAAAACUGGUGACUG